UGGGGCACGAAGGCCCCCCUCAAAAAUUAGGUAAAAUUUUUUUUUUCCAUUUUCCGUCAAGUUAUGGCCUCUAUGAUGUUUUUAUGACAUUUCGGGCCAAAAUGUGAUAUGUGGGGCAUAAUGGACCACUCGAAAAAAAAAUUACAAAUUUAAAGAAUUCAUUAUUUUAGGCCUUUUCAGGUCAAUGAAUUAGAAUGAUUUUAAUU